GCCAAAUUGUAGGAAAAAAUAUACACUGAAGUAAAGUUUUUUGAUAGGGAUGGUCCAGAAGAGAGACAGAGAGCAGGAAUUAUGGGUAGACUGGGUAAAUGGGAGGAUUAUGGGAAGGAAAAUAUAGGCAUCUCUACUUGUCAAACAACUGUGGAAAACUGCAGAAACAAAAUAAUCCACAGUACCUGUGUUGAAUCUGAGUUAUCUCUCUUGGUUCACGACAGUUGUGAACCAACUUUUAUUCAAGAUGCAAAUGAAAAACAGUUACAGAUAAAGAAAAUUGUUGUUUUUCUCCAUCUUGGGGUUGAGAAAUUUGGAUCCAUUAGAAUAAAAAGACAUCAAUAGCUA